rnacentral:rRNA from 1 species
AACGAACGCUGGCGGCAUGCCUAAUGCAUGCAAGUCGAACGAUCACUUCGGUGAUAGUGGCGCACGGGUGCGUAACGCGUGGGAAUCUGCCCUUGGGUUCGGAAUAACAGCGGGAAACUGCUGCUAAUACCGGAUGAUGACGUAAGUCCAAAGAUUUAUCGCCCAAGGAUGAGCCCGCGUAGGAUUAGCUAGUUGGUGGGGUAAAGGCCUACCAAGGCGACGAUCCUUAGCUGGUCUGAGAGGAUGAUCAGCCACACUGGGACUGAGACACGGCCCAGACUCCUACGGGAGGCAGCAGUAGGGAAUAUUGGACAAUGGGGGCAACCCUGAUCCAGCAAUGCCGCGUGAGUGAUGAAGGCCUUAGGGUUGUAAAGCUCUUUUACCAGGGAUGAUAAUGACAGUAUCUGGGGAAUAAGCCCCGGCUAACUCCGUGCCAGCAGCCGCCGUAACAC